GUGGGGAAUAUUGGGCAAUGGUCGGAAGACUGACCCAGCCAUGCCGCGUGCAGGAAGACGGCCCUCUGGGUUGUAAACUGCUUUUAUCUGGGAAGAAAAAGGCCAUGCGUGGCAAAUUGCCGGUACCAGAUGAAUAAGCACCGGCUAACUCCGUGCCAGCAGCCGCGGUAAUACGGAGGGUGCGAGCGUUGUCCGGAUUUAUUGGGUUUAAAGGGUGCGUAGGCGGCUGAUUAAGUCAGCGGUGAAAGACUUCGGCUUAACCGGAGCAGUGCCGUUGAUACUGGUUGGCUUGAGUGUCGGAGGGGUACAUGGAAUUGAUGGUGUAGCGGUGAAAUGCAUAGAUACCAUCAGGAACACCGAUAGCGAAGGCAUUGUACUGGCCGACAACUGACGCUGAUGCACGAAAGUGUGGGGAUCGAACAGGAUUAGAAACCCUGGUAGUCC
rnacentral:rRNA from 1 species